rnacentral:tRNA from 1 species
GUGGGUUUGUGGCUUAGUGGUAGAGCACUUGCCUACCAUGAGUGAGGCACUGGGUUCAAUCCUCAGCACCACA